AAAGCAUUUUACUGUGGUUUUGCCUUGUAACAAAGGUAAAAGGGAUAAAAACACCUUAACUCUUCAGGGUCAGAAUUAAUUUACAUUGAUAUGUUUUAGAAUUGUCUUCAUCUUCUCAUGCUCAAAUAUAGCCCUUAAUCAAAGAACUGUAAGGCAGGCGUCUGUAGCAAGGUAAAGGGAUGGAGCUCAAAAUUCGGAAGGCAUUAUAAAGAAGCCAGCUUACCAAAGGCUGAAUCUAGAUGCUGCAAGGCAUGCUCAUGUGUCAAAACAAUCCAGCACGGGGCUCUGCCAUUUAAGCUAGGUGAAGAGGUGGUUGAACUAUGGACUCUUGAAAAAUAUGCCUAAGAUCAGACACUGGCAGCAAACUCUUUUCCUCAGGCUCCUAUACCAAGUUCCACCAAAUUAAGCCAUUUGAAUUUAACAGAAAUAUAGUUUGAGCAAUUUGGAAGCCGGAAUCAAAGACUGGACAGGUUUGUCUCUUUGGGAGCCAGUGAAAGAGAAAUGAUCAUAUCUUUCCUCUGGUUCCCUAGUGUGUGUCAGCCGUUGUGAUGUCCUUCAGCUCAGAGUCAUAGCACUCCAGUUUCUGCCUCCACCUUUACGUGGCAUCUGCCUCAUGGUGUAUCCUUUUCUGAUUCUUACAAAGAAACAUGUCACUGCACUUAGUGACCUCCACAAUCCAGGGUCAUCAAUACAUACCUAGAUAAAGACUCUAUUUCAAACAGUAUCCCAUCCUAAGGUUUUGGGUGGACAAUUAUUUCACUGGACCAGUAUUGAUUCCACUGCAUCAUAACAGGAAGUGACUGAUGCUACAGAAGAGCGUAUGCACAUAAGACAUGGCCUCACCCAAGGUGUCAGGCUCCAGCAGCAGUGAGAAGGGCUGAUGAAGGAUUGGUCAAUGAGGGUAGAGUGCUCACAUAGUUCAGUGUCCCAAGGAAGCUAAGUUCUUGCUGCCAGGGUAGGAAGUUAGCAUUUGGUACCUAGAUGGAAAGGGUAGGAGGGUUCCCAGAUACCACCUUAGAGAUACUGAGAGGUGACUUUAUAGUAUGGUAACAAAAAUGUAAAUGUGAAUGUGUAUUACCUAGCCUUGACCUGUCGUGACCUGGCCACAAGGCCAUGCAACAACAAUAAGCACACUCAGCUUCCACAUCUUUGUAGCUCAGCUACUUGAAAAAUGGCUGGAGGGCAGCAACCAAAGUAUAAUGGAGACUUUGGUUUGUUUAGACCUUUUGUCUAUGAGGUGGACCCACUCAUAUUCAGGAAAACCAUGUGCUCAAAAUAAUCCUCCUUUCCCCUUCACCAGAACCCCGUCAUAGAUACAAAUAGAAGUGUACUUUACUAAUCUCUUAAUUGCCUCUAAGGCCAAUCAGGUUGACAAGGUUAGUCAUGGAUGGGGAAAGUAUUAUCAGAGAAGCAACUCAGAACUAAGAGUCUAACAGAUAGAAAAAAAAGAAUAAAAAGGAAUCUAGCAAGGCAGGGAUGUGAACGUUGGUGUGUGAUUCUGAACUGGAUCCAGAAUUUUGACCAGUGAAUGUGGUAUGAAAAUAGGAGUUCCUUUGCUUAGGGAAUGCCUGGAGUAGAGAUACCCAUUGCUUUUAGUUGUGGUAGUGGUGGAGGAGGAGGAAGAGAAGGGUGAGGAGGGUGAGGAGACAUCUAUGACAAGAAUGAAAAUGGAAGGAUGGCUGAAGAAACCUUGAAAUAUCUACAUAGCUUCUGUGCACUAAAUAUUUUAGAUUCCUGGAAUAGAAAUUGCCUGAUUUCAUAUGCAGAAACCACUUGUCUAAUCAUGUUAUUUAAAUUUAUUUAUUUAUAGCAGGGUGGUGGUGGCGCACACCUUUAAUCCCAGCACUUGGGAGGCAGAGGCACGCAGAUUUCUGAGUGCGAGGCCAGCCUGGUCUACAAACCUUUAGAGAACCUGAAAUGUACUUUGUCAGGAAACCCAACACUGGAGACCCAGAAAUCAUGAAAUUAAAAUGUUUUCAUGAAAGUGAAUAAUACAGACUCCUUCCAACAACUAAAGAAGAUGGAUGAGUGUGAGAAGUCAGGACUGCAUUACCCCAACAUGGGAGAGUUGGGAGCUAUUCAUUGAGCUUAAGAACUAGAGGAGACCAUGGAAAGCAUGCCAAGACCUUUUUAUGAUGCCAGUUUGGAAGGCUGAACCAUCAUACUAUUCUUCAAGGGAAUAAUAACUCCAGCUUAAUAUCUGUAUAUCUCUGUAGGCAGGUUCAUGAAAUUCAGUUCCCAUUAGAGCAUUCAGGGAAGUCCUCUGGGUCUCCUCACAUAUUCACACUGCAAGGCAGUUACAGGAAUCAGGCCCAUGCAUCCACAGGUCAUCAUUUCAGCCACGCCAACUAAAUGCAGCAUGCAGCACAGCGACAUCAGAGAUGUACCUAGAAAAGUAGUUCCCAGGAGAGGUAUUGCGGGAUCCUCCAGUAGAACUACGUCCAAUACCUCUCCUGGGCAUAUAUCCAGAAGAUGUUCCAACUGGUAAGAAAGACACAUGCUCCACUAUGUUCAUAGCAGCCUUAUUUAUAAUAGCCAGAAGCUGGAAAGAACCCAGAUGCCCCUCAACAGAGGAAUGGAUACAGAAAAUGUGGUACAUUUACACAAUGGAGUACUACUCAGCUAUUAAAAAGAAUGAAUUUGUGAAAUUCCUAGGCAAAUGGAUUAACCUGGAGGGCAUCAUCCUGACUGAGGUAACCCAAUCACAAAAGAACUCACAUGACAUGUACUCACUGAUAAGUGGAUAUUAGCCCAGAAACUUAGAAUACCCAAGAUACAAGAUACAAGAUACAAAGCACAUGAAACGCAAGAAGAACGAAGAGCAAAGUGUGGGCAGUUUGCUCCUUCUUAGAAUUGGGAACAAAACACCCAUGGAAGGAGUUACAGAGACAAAGUUUGGAGCUGAGACUCCAAACGCAGACACCAUUGCACACACUAGCAAGAUUUUGCUGAAAGGACCCUGAUAUAGCUGUCUCUUGUGAGACUAUGCCGGGGCCUAGCAAACACAGAAGUGGAUGCUCACCUUCAGCUAUUGGAUGGAUCACAGAGCCCCCAAUGGAGGAGCUAGAGAAAGUACCCAAGGAGCUGAAAAGGUCUGCAACCCUAUAGGUGGAACAACAAUAUGAACUAACCAGUACCCCCUAGAGCUCUCUAGCUGCAUAUGUAGCAGAAGAUGGCCUAGUCAGCCGUCAGUGGAAAGAGAGGCCCAUUGGUCUUGCAAACUUUAUAUGCCCCAGUACAGGGGAACGCCAGGGCCAAGAAGUGGGAGUGGGUGGGUAGGGGAGUGGAGGGGGAGGGUAUGGGGGACUUUUGGGAUAGCAUUGGAAAUGUAAAUGAGGAAAAUACCUAAUAAAAAUAUUUAAAAAAGAAAAGAAAAGUAGUUCCAAAUCUGCCACAAAGACAUUGCUCUCCAGCCGUCCCGUGUUGUUUGAUUAACUGUAGUAUUGUCUCUUUGCACAUAUCAGCAAAGCUUCAUCCUCUGACCUCACUGAGCUGCCAUGUAAAAGACAAAUCAUUGUUAGUCUAACCAAGGUGGUGAGAAAGUUGGGCAUGCAGGGGUGUGCUAGUCUGCUUUUGGCACUGUGACAAAUA
rnacentral:lncRNA from 1 species